AUGGUGAGCAGCGGCGACCCCGGAGUAUUUGGCGAGGCAGGCAUCGGGCCGAAGAUCCGCCGCGUCCACGACUGGGUUCCCAAGGGGAUGGAGUUGCGGUUUGCUUUCAUGGUGCACAUUAGAAGGGACCAGUACAUGUUCGAUGCAAAGGAUAAGAAGAAAUACCAAGGAGGUUUUGAUUAUCGGUUGCCAAUGGCUAGUAAUUGGAGUUUCAGACAAUUUGGGGAGGUAAUUUGUAGUCAAUAUCCUUGGGGUUUGCUUGAUGAAGUGGUAUACAAAUGCUAUGAUGGGGAAAAGAAUUGGUUGACAGUUAGUAAUGAUGAAGAGCUAGCUACCAUGUUUGCUAGGCAUAAAGAGAAAGAUAAUUUUCAUGUGAGGCUGCAAGUUGAUGUGCUUGAGCAGGCAUUUGGACCUAGGAUGGCGGGUGCAACAUCUCGGGGAGAACCAAGUCGUCGUAAUGGCAUCUCUAGCCAGAACAGUUCAGUUGGUGCACGGCCACGUGGUGGCUCGACAAGUGUGGGCAACAGCAGUAGGGUCCCCCUUAAAGUGGAGCCUGAUGGCUACAAUUCUGGGGUUGAUGAAGAGAAGCUAUAUUCUGAUGUUAUUCGGAAUUUACGACGGGCACCUCGGACUGAAAAUCAAGAUGAGGCUCACAAUGCAGUCCGUGUGGAUGAUGACGCGAUGGGUGAGGACGAAGACCUUGCAGCUGUUGAAUGGGACCCUUUGAACCCUCAUAUGGAAGAAGGUACAGUUUUUGCAUCCAUGAAUGAGUGUAGAAAUGCACUUGUAACAUACUGCAUCAAGGUAGAACGUACUUUCAAAGUUGACAAGAGUGAUCAAGUCAAAGUGAACCCUUUUAAGCACACAUGCCAGGAAUCAACCCUUAGGAAGGAUACAAUCAGUAGAGCCAAGUCAAGAUGGGUGGCAGAAGAAGUAAAGAAGUGGGUGAAAGAAAACCAGCAAGUGGGUCCAAAGGAAUUACAGAAGAACAUCAAAGAUAAGUUCAAGAUAGAUUUACCAUACAUGAGGUUGUUCAAUGGUAAACAACAUGCGAUGGAUUCUAUUUAUGGUAACUGGCAGGAAAGUUUUCAAUUGUUGUAUUCAUUCAAAGGUGAAGUGGAGAGGACAAGCCCAGGCUUCGAUGAAAAUGUUGGUCAGCAGCCGGUUGCCUCAACAGAUGAUGAAAAUGAUGGUCAACAACCGGUUGCAUCAGAUGAGGAUUUUGACGAGGUUCCAAAUGAUGAUGGUCAACAACCGCAUGAUUUUGAUGAUGAUCCAAAAUAUCCUCCAAAUAAUGAUUCAAGUGAGGCUCCAAAUGGUGAUCCAAGUGAGGCUCUAAAUGGUGAUCAUGGUGAUCCAAGUGAGGCUCCAAAUGAUGAUCCAAGUGAGGCUCCAAAUGGUGACCAACCUUCUGUUGUUCCCUAUGGUAGGUUUGAAGAAGACGCGCAACAUACCGACAACCAAGAGAAGAAGAGAAGAAACAAUGAGCACAAGGUGCACGAGGAGCAAAGUGAUGGCAAGAAGCUCAAGUAA
rnacentral:rRNA from 1 species